ensembl:lncRNA
CAGUACUGGACAACCAGCCCUGCUCAGUGUAGGCUGGGAAACGUUCUGUCCAGUACUGGCAACCAGCCCUGCUCAGUGUAGGCUGGGAAAACGUUCUGUCCAGUACUGGACAACCAGCCCUGCUCAGUGUAGGCUGGGAAAACGUUCUGUCCAGUACUGGACAACCAGCCCUGCUCAGUGUAGGCUGGGAAACUCCAUUUCUAAGGUGAUGUAUCACUGUACAUGGGACUGGGGACUUUCUGGCAUUUUAAAACAACAUCAGUAUCCUGGGAAUCAGUUUAAACAGUCCAAUUGAGUUUGGACUCCAGGAUAGGAGCAAUAAUCAGUAAUAUAGAAUAUAAUACAAUCCAUUUUGAGGGAUUACUUUGUAAGGUUUCAUCAGUGAGUGAAUUCUGCUCUUUUCCAUUAGACCCAGAUGUGAGAUUAUGAAAUGCAUUCCAAAUACCCCCCCUAUUCCCUAUUUAGUGCACUACUGUUGACCAUAAGUCCCUGAUUAAAAGUAGUGCACUACUUCAGGAAUAGGGGGUCAUUUGGGAUGCAGUAAACAGACUUCACCUCACGUCUGUUUUAACCAGUUCAGACCCACAAAUGGGAAACGUGACUCGUGUUACGGCUCCCAUUCCCCUGCCGGGAUAUCUUUGUCAGAUCACCUCGUAUCAUUUCCUGGCUACAUGUCAUUUCAGAUAGUUGUUGCUAACAUUUUGUUCAUUUCCUUGAACAUCCUCAAAGCGACUGAAACAAGAAUUCAAUUCCAACAGAUGUCUUGUGACUGAUAGGAAGAGAGCACUUACCCAUUUCCUGAUCCGGAGACAGACAGAACACUCUUCUACCCACAAUACCUUGGUGCUAUUAGAAACACAUAUGACUUUUGACUUCUCGGAAGGGGGAGGAGUUGUUACGUGGUUUCCAUGGUUUCCGCCAAGCAGUUGUUAUUGUUGUUGGGGAUCCUCUCCCAUUUCUUCCUCCUCUUGUAUAACAACCUGCUCCUGUGCCUGACUCUAAACGGUUGAAGUAAUCUAACACCCCUCUCCUCAUGUCUCCUCAGAAAGCUGUCUGUCUCUCUCCAUCUCCUCUUCUCCUCAUGUCUCCUUCAGAAAGCUGCCUGUCUCUCUCCAUCUCCU